rnacentral:lncRNA from 1 species
GUCGCUUUUUACACUUUUUUGGAAAGCCCUUGAUUGCUAUGUGGAUCAUGUCUGCUGUGACGUCUGCUGACUGCACUGUCGUGUGGCUCCUGUCCAGAAGGGAUGGUAGGUUCAAUGUGCUGUUUGCGGGUGCGCAGGUACAGGUGCAGCCUCAAACAGAGUGUAAUAUAAGUAUGUAUUGAUAACAUGCACAUGCUAAAACAGAAAGAGACGGAGACUGUUGCAUUUGCAGCCAACCCUGUUUGUUGCUAGGCCUGGCGCCUGGUUUGUUACGUGACAUUUUAUCAGUCGCCCGAGUCUCGAGGUGCACCGUUGUUCUUGUACACGUCGUCCACCCAGCAACUGUUUUCGUUUAUGCGCGCAGGUCGUUUCUAAUCGUGUUUAAAG